AAUCGCAGAUCAGCAUGCUGCGGUGAAUACGUUCCCGGGCCUUGUACACACCGCCCGUCACACCAUGGGAGUCGGUAACACCCGAAGUCGGUAGCCUAACCGUAAGGAGGGCGCCGCCGAAGGUGGGAUUGAUGACUGGGGUGAAGUCGUAACAAGGUAGC
rnacentral:rRNA from 1 species